GGGAGAUUGGUGGAAUGGCAGACACGGUGGACUUAAAAUCCACUGCCUUCGGGCGUGAGGGUUCGAAUCCCUCAUCUCCUACCA
rnacentral:tRNA from 1 species